rnacentral:lncRNA from 1 species
CUGGGGUUCUGAAAAUUAACAAAUUGGAAUGAAAUUCAGAGUCACAAUGUCACGAACAACCAAAGCAAAUAGUAAAUCAUCAUGCAAUUAAGAGAUUUAGAAAUCAAAUCGGAUAAAAAUAGUCGGUGUUCAUCAAAAGCCUUGUUGGCUAGACAGUGAAUGAUGAUGAAGAGUUUUUCCAUAGGUAAGGGAGAGGAGACACCAGAGCGGCGGCCUUAUUGAUGGCACGUCUAUUCACUAGUGGUGGAGAGGCUGUCGUCAUUGCUGUUCUGGAAGGGCGGUGGAGAAGACGAUCGGAGAGUGGCGGCGAUGCUGGGGUGGCAUCAGCGAGGGUUCGAUGGUGUGAGGGAAGGGGGUGCCUGUCGUUGUGGUGGCAUUGGUCGCUGGAACGGGAAGGAAGAAUGGGAUGACGACAUUGAUGGCAUCAUUGGUGGAGGCUUCGUGGCUGGUGCGGCGGCGGUGCUGGUCAGGGGACGAAGGCGGACUGCUAGGGCGGCAUUUUGAGGGUUGUUGAUGAUGGUUUCGCCAUAGAAAAGGACAAGGGGAGAGAUGGGGAGAUCAGAGGAAGGGAGAGGGAGACCGAUGAUGGAAUGGUGCCAGCGCCAUUACCGGUGGUUGGUGGUUUAUGGGGAGAUGAUGAGAGAAGAGAGAGAAGAGAGGUCGAGAGAGAAAGAGAAGAGAGGCUGCUUCUCUUUU